GCUGAACUCAUGGGCUGAUUCACACGCACGCACACGAUUCUGUGAGUUGAGAAACAGACUGUGGACGUUGCAGCACGAUGAGUCACACGUCUGCGCUGACACGAGCUGCAGGAAGCCACAUGAACGCACAAACAGCAGACGUCAUUUCAUGGACUUGGCUUAAACAGUGAAGAGAUGGUUGAAGCGCUCCAUUGUGUCCUCUGGAAGAUCUUCUACCCGCAGAAGGCAGAUUGUCUCUGGGCGGGAGGUGCGGUCUACCAGAGCAAAGCUCUAAAGCGACGGUAGACGCUAACCUGGGCUCGAGCGGGCCUAGCUCCUCCAGACUGGUUUGAAGUGGAACCUUGCUGCAAGACCACGACUCGGAGUCCACCAGCUGAGUCACAUGGCCGAGCAACUUCAUCUCAUAGUCAGAGUCGAGCACACGCCAGCGGCCUGGAGAAACACACACACACACACACACACACACACACACACACACACACACACACUGAAUGUCUUUACUGUCACUGACACACACUGGCCCUGACAUUAAUAACACAGUGUUGAUUGACACGGACAGCGAGGCGUGUGUGUCAUCGUGGCUCUCACCAUUUAUCUGACAGGCAUGGAUGGCCCUCAAGUGGUUCUUGAGCUCCUCUUCACUAGCUUGAAUAGUCUCCAGCAGAUCAUCCAUGGUGUACUACAGCAGAUUGAUACACAUACUGUAAGUCAGGCUGCGGUCGUGCACCUGAGCGUGAGCGAGAUGUGUGCUCUCCUGGCUGCUGCUGAGCUGUUCGGGUGUUUUGCAUCCCGGCAGAAAGAGCAGCAGGUUGGACGUGUCUGCGAUCUU